AUGCACGCUGGCGGCGUGCCUAAUCCCUGCCAGUCGAGCGAACAGACGAGGAGCUUGCUCCUCUGACGUUAGCGGCGGACGGGUGAGUAACACGUGGAUAACCUACCUAUAAGACUGGGAUAACUUCGGGAAACCGGAGCUAAUACCGGAUAAUAUAUUGAACCGCCUGGUUCAAUAGUGAAAGACGGUUUUGCUGUCACUUAUAGAUGGAUCCGCGCCGCAUUAGCUAGUUGGUAAGGUAACGGCUUACCAAGGCGACGAUGCGUAGCCGACCUGAGAGGGUGAUCGGCCACACUGGAACUGAGACACGGUCCAGACUCCUACGGGAGGCAGCAGUAGGGAAUCUUCCGCAAUGGGCGAAAGCCUGACGGAGCAACGCCGCGUGAGUGAUGAAGGUCUUCGGAUCGUAAAACUCUGUUAUUAGGGAAGAACAAAUGUGUAGGUAACUAUGCACGUCUUGACGGUACCUAAUCAGAAAGCCACGGCUAACUACGUG
rnacentral:rRNA from 1 species